CAGCCGCCGCGGGAACACCGGCGGCCCGAGUGGUGAUCGUGAUUAUUGGGUCUAAAGGGUCCGUAGCCGGUUUGGUCAGUCCUCCGGGAAAUCUGAUAGCUCAACUAUUAGGCUUUCGGGGGAUACUGCCAGACUUGGAACCGGGAGAGGUAAGAGGUACUACAGGGGUAGGAGUGAAAUCUUGUAAUCCCUGUGGGACCACCUGUGGCGAAGGCGUCUUACCAGAACGGGUUCGACGGUGAGGGACGAAAGCUGGGGGCACGAACCGGAUUAGAUACCCGGGUAGUCCCAGCCGUAAACGAUGCUCGCUAGGUGUCAGGCAUGGCGCGACCGUGUCUGGUGCCGCAGGGAAGCCGUGAAGCGAGCCACCUGGGAAGUACGGCCGCAAGGCUGAAACUUAAAGGAAUUGGCGGGGGAGCACAACAACGGGUGGAGCCCUGCGGUUUAAUUGGACUCAACGCCGGACAACUCACCGGGGGCGACAGCAAUAUGUAGGCCAAGCUGAAGACUUUGCCUGAAUCGCUGAGAAGAGGUGCAUGG
rnacentral:rRNA from 1 species